GGGAGCUCCAUUAAGUACACGACUCAAAAGUGGAUUUACAUAAACCAUAUAUACAUCUUGAAGACUAUUACUAAAUGUCUAUCAUCUGACAGGAUAGUCUUUGAUAAGUAUUGCAGGAACAGAUUAUGUUUAUCUGCUGUAGAGUGACUGAUGAAGGAAUGCUGCCAUCAAAGGAUUUGUAUCUUUUGUGGUGGAGCAGGACCUGCAAGGAAAGGGGAAAAAAGGAAAUACCUGAAACAAAAGAAUAAAGUAAUUACUUUUUGU